rnacentral:lncRNA from 1 species
ACAUAGUUGGCUUCCUGAGGGGAGACUCUGAAGGUCAAUCUUCCUGGAGACAGGAUAGGCCCAGCCAGGUCUAAUCUGCCGAAGGAUAGGGAAAGGUUUUCUGGUGAUUCAGUUGUUACAUCUCAGGAAUCCAGUAUGAAUUCUGGUCUGGUUUCCAGAAGCCUAGCACAUAAGGCUUCUGGAAUGUCCAGAAUGUCCAGUCUCACCAUGAAGAAUGUCCAGUCCCAUCAUAAAGAACACAAGAACCAUGAUCCACCUGAGCCAGCUGGGAUGAAGUAAAAGGUAGGGAGGUGGGCAAGAAGCAGAGGAGAGCAACCAUGAGAACAGAGAGACCAGCAAAGAACCUGCAGAGACCUUGGCCCUGGCCAGGCUGCAGUCCCUCUGGAGUUCCAUUCUCAGAAGGAGCAGACAGGACAUGAGGAACCCUGGGGGAACUGCCCUCUUCUGUGAGCCUAGCUGGCAGAGGCCUGGAGCCAGGUCCUGGGUACAUUUGGUGCCAGCAGAGGGCAGGUUGUGGACACUCAGCCACAUGGCUCCCUCAGAGCACUGCUAUUCAGCAAGAUGGGACACCCAUUCCUGGUGAGAUUUGUGGAAACCAGAACAAUGUCACUUACAUCAUUUUGGUAUUUUCCAUUUCAUAAUAAAAACAUGUAUUUAACUGCCUAGUAUACCCCAUCUAAUUUGUAAUUUAUUAAACUUC